UAGAGUUUGAUCCUGGCUCAGGAUGAACGCUGGCGGCGUGCCUAACACAUGCAAGUCGAACGGUGGUAGUAAUACUACAGUGGCGCACGGGUGAGGAACACGUAGCUAACCUGCCUUCGAGAGGGGGAUAACGUCCCGAAAGGGAUGCUAAUACCCCAUAAGCUCACGUCGAGUAGAGAGAUGUGAGAAAAGAUUAAUCGCUCGAAGAGGGGGCUGCGGCCCAUCAGGUAGUUGGUGGGGUAACGGCCUACCAAGCCAACGACGGGUCGGGGACCUGAGAGGGCGACCCCCCACACUGGGACUGAGACACGGCCCAGACUCCUACGGGAGGCAGCAGUGAGGAAUAUUGCACAAUGGGCGCAAGCCUGAUGCAGCGACGCCGCGUGAGUGAAGAAGGCCUUCGGGUCGUAAAGCUCUUUUCUGCGUGACGAGAGAGGACGGUAGCGCAGGAAUAAGUGUCGGCUAACUACGUGCCAGCAGCCGCGGUAAAACGUAGGACGCAAGCGUUAUCCGGAGUUACUGGGCGUAAAGGGCGUGUAGGCGGCCGGGUAAGUCCGUCGUGAAAGCCCCCGGCUAAACUGGGGGAGGACGAGGGAGACUGCCGGGCUAGAGGCGGGUAGAGGGGCAUAGAAUUCCGGGUGUAGUGGUGAAAUGCGUAGAGAUCCGGAGGAAUACCAGAGGCGAAGGCGAUGCCCUGGGCCCGUACUGACGCUGAGACGCGACAGCAUGGGGAGCGAACGGGAUUAGAAACCCCGGUAGUCCAUGCCGUAAACGAUGCCAACUAGGUGUUCAGUUCCCACUGGGAAGGGAGCGCCGCAGCUAACGCGCUAAGUUGGCCGCCUGGGGAGUACGGUCGCAAGGCUAAAACUCAAAGGAAUUGACGGGGGCCCGCACAAGCAGCGGAGCGUGUGGUUUAAUUCGAGGCUACACGAAGAACCUUACCUGGGUUUGACAUGCAGGUGGUAGCGAGAUGAAAGUUGAGCGACCUUCGGGAGCCUGCACAGGUGCUGCAUGGCUGUCGUCAGCUCGUGUCGUGAGAUGUUCGGUUAAGUCCGAAAACGAGCGCAACCCUCGGGACUAGUUACAGGUGUCUAGUCCGACUGCCCGUGAGAAACGGGAGGAAGGCGGGGAUGACGUCAAGUCAGCAUGGCCUUUAUAUCCAGGGCUACACACACGCUACAAUGGUCGGUACAAUGGGUCGCCAAGCCGCGAGGCGGAGCCAAUCCAGACAAAGCCGAUCACAGUUCGGAUUGCAGGCUGCAACUCGCCUGCAUGAAGUCGGAGUUGCUAGUAACCGCGCAUCAGCCAUGGCGCGGUGAAUACGUUCCCAGGCCUUGUACACACCGCCCGUCACACCAUGGGAGUUGGAUUCACCCGAAGGCGUUGCGCCAACCCGCAAGGGGGGCAGGCGACCACGGCGGGUUUAGCGACUGGGGUGAAGUCGUAACAAGGUAGCCG
rnacentral:rRNA from 1 species